AAGAUGCUGUUUAGGUGUCUCACACAAAGCAGUGUGUAACCAAUGAGAACCCUUCACCUGUUGGAGCCUGCACAGAAAUCUGCACAAUUGGAAGUGACAAGAUUCAUCAAAAGAGGCAAGAAAGACAGAGGGAAGGUUUUAUCCAUGAUGGAAAGACACGUCAAGCUAAAAAGGCCUGGACUGAUUCAAUGAACUAUGCACAUGGGUUGUUCCCAACUAGACAGGUGAAUCUCUUAAACCUGUUCAUCCACCUGCUGAAUUCAAGCUACAUGCACCUGUUGAGAAUGGUGUACACAAAGGCCUUUCUCAAGGCCUUUACAACUACAAAUACUACAUCACAAGGACUACAAGUGCCUGACAAGUGACCCCUGUGAGAAUCAUCUGUAUUCAUGUCAUGUGGUCAAAGGGCAGACUGUAAGAAUUACAGAAACCUCAGACACUUUGAUCUUCUGAGACAUACUAAAGACACACAGUGCAUUAACAUACAGACAUCUGUUCCCACAUCUCACUGAGAGAAAAUGCAGGAAACGCCUCUCUCACAUAUGCAACAGUUCCUUCUCAUCCCAUUCCUUCCCUUCACAUAGCACACUCAGAAUGGUCAAUAGUAGAAUAUAAUGGUCUAUAUUAAUGCAAGUGAUAUUUACAGCCAUGUUUGGUAUCAUUGGAAAUGUCUCAGUGCAACUGGUACAAUGGUCUCAGUCUUACAAAAGUAGAUUAUAAGAUAAUACAGAUCCGAAGAGUCAAGAGAUAUCUUGAUUACUGUGAUGGGAGUGCCCUUUCCUAUGGUCCUCCAUGUAAAUUACCCGCUAUUCCCAUUGAGUUGUAAAACCACCCAGGUUUGGGACCUGAGUUAAUGCAAAUUCCAAUUGUUAGUUCCUGUCUCCAUCUCGGGGGAUGUUUGUCUUGGUCUGAGGUAUUUAAACGAUUGCAGCAAGAGGAUCAGGGUGAUUUCUGUAGCCAGAAAGCCCGUAGUGUGUUGUGUGUCUCUUCACUUCAUACUAUGUAUUUUCUAAGGUCAGACCGAACACGCCGGAAACCUUCAUCCAGCACCGGAUACCUUCCUUGGGCCGAGUGCCUGGACCUUACAAAGUGGUGACUCAGCCGACGUGAUCUCCCUACUUAUGCGAGUGACGUCUUCCCAGCGCGAAUUUCAGAUUGAUUCUCUCUGAAGAUAUAAGGUUUGAGCUUCUUCCCUGUCUACAACUGCUGUGGUUGACCACUGUAAUUCUUUGGAGGACAGAUACCAGGAAGGUGUCUGGUCCCAUCUGCACCAAACCAGGACAACAGAAUUGUUAGAACAUAACCUGAAAAGUGGGAGAUGGAUGUGAAGACACUUGAAGGGGCCAUUCACACCUCACAGGAGAACAUCACCACACACAUAUCUACAUGGCCUCCCGGAUUAGAACCGGAACUAAAUGUUUGCAACACAGAUUGCUAUAGAUUAGAAUCCAUCCAUCUCCCAGACAUGAGCACAGAACACACAACUCCACCAAUGCAUCACCUCAUUUUGACUAUCCAGUCUGUACACUACAAACAGAAGACAAUGAUGGCUUAGAUUACAAACGUGGUACUCCACUAAAGAUCUAUUGUCCAUCUUCACACAGACAGAACCACAUAGCCUCACACACACAGGACAAUAGAAUUAAUUACAUUCCAAAAGAUACAACAUAUCUACUAUCUGCAACCGUCUAAACUCAUAAAACAACACUGUAACACACAUUUGCACGAAAAGUCACAGAUCGAUGGCGCAAAUUUUUGAACACAGAGGCAGACAAGCCUUUACAAUUUAAAAUAUUGAAUCUUUCCAAUUGUUAUUAGGAUGGUUGACAAGCCAGAGGGCCCCUGGUUUCCCAACACAUCACGAAUGACAAUAAACAUUAUUAAAAUAAUCAAAUAUGAAGUGCCUGCACUUCAUCUCUAUCAAUCAAUUAUAAA